UCCCUUGUAGCUCAGCGGUAGAGCGCCUCAUCAACACAGCCUCGGAAGAGGAGUAUGUGUUGCAAGAAAUGAGGAGGUCGCUGGUUCGAUUCCAGUCAGGGGAA
rnacentral:tRNA from 1 species